rnacentral:rRNA from 1 species
AUGUCGGCGCUCCCUAUCAAAAAGGAAGACCUCUUUAUUGCUCCAGCGGUACAACAUCCAGAUGACGAUGACUCGGGCAGUCUUGACUCUGACAAACCUCUCUCUUCGAAGGUGCAAGCCCUGUUGGAGCUACUGAAGCGUUCGUGGAAGGAAGACCCUUCAUCAAAGUCUGUCGUGUGUUCCCAAUUCCCGAAGAUGUUGAUUCUGCUCGAAGGGCCACUGAAAAGAGCAGGCUUCAAAAUACUACGUCUUGAUGGCACCAUGAGCGUGAAAAAGAGGUCAGACGUUAUUAAGCAAUUUGCAGUCGUCGGCCCCGAUGCCCCAGCCAUACUGUUGGCCGGCCUGAAGGCUACAGGAGCUGGUGCGAACCUAACAGUGGCCUCGACGGUGCACCUGUUUGACCCCUGGUGGAACCCCGCGAUGGAGGAGCAGGCCAUGGACCGGGCAGAAGAAAGCGGUGAAAGUGGUGUGGCUUAUCGUGAAGAACAGCAUCGAGGAGAGGGUCCUGGAGCUCCAGGAGAGGAAGAAGCGGCUGAUCAGCGGCGCGUUCAGGAAGAAAGGUGGCACCAAGGAGGACAAGGAGACGCGCCUUGA